AAUUAAUUACCAAAUUCUAUGCUUACAAGAUUACCUAACUCAUACAAUUUGAAAUUUCAAGACGUAGAUAUUUUCAAAGGUUCAAAAAAUAUUUUUCAAAA